UACGAGAGGCGCAAACGUUAUUCGGAUUUACUGGGCUUAAAGAGUUCGUAGGCGGCGCGGAAAGUGGGGUGUGAAAGUCAAAGGCUCAACCUUUGAAUGUCAGCGGAUACUGCCGGGCUAGAGUCCGGAAGAGGCGAGUGGAACUCCUGGUGUAGCGGUGGAAUGCGCAGAUAUCAGGAAGAACACCAACGGCGAAGGCAGCUCGCUGGGACGGAACUGACGCUAAGGCGCGAAAGCGUGGGGAGCGAACAGG
rnacentral:rRNA from 1 species